rnacentral:rRNA from 1 species
GUCCACGCCCUAAACGUUGAAUACUCGGUCUUGGCGAUAUACAGUCAGGGCCCAAGCGAAAGCGUUAAGUAUUCCACCUGGGAAGUACGUUCGCAAGAAUGAAACUCAAAGGAAUUGACGGGGCCCGCACAAGCGGAGGAGCAUGUGGUUUAAUUCGAUGAUACGCGAGAAACCUUACCUGGGCUUGAAUGUGAGUGACCGGUGCCGAAAGGUACUUUCCCCGCAAGGGGCACAAAACAAGGUGCUGCAUGGCUGUCGU